CGGGAAUUCAUAUGACUACUUAAAGAGUUAUUUUUAUUUAUUUUUUUAUCACAUGAGGGUGACACUAAACUGUGAGGUUCAGUACAUUGCUCAAACUAUAUUUCUGUUACAUGGAACCUGUUGGUCAGUUUCUGUGCAGUCAUCAAACCAAAGUGGGGGAGGGGAGAGUUGGUGUGACUGCUUUUGGAAGUUGGUAGACACUUGUGGGGGAGGGGAAUGCACCUGCAUGAGACGUUGCUUUUAAUUAGUACGGAAGUUACAGAACUACAUGGAUUGACAUGUAAGUCACCAUGUUUAUUUAUACUAAAAUGAACGAUUGUUCAAGUUGGUGAUGUUGGUGUCAAUUAUGUUUGUUUUGCCUGAGGUAAUAUUUUUGAACCUCAACCGUCGAAUUAUCGAAAUUUCCCUUCAACAUGAGGUUUGUGGUGCUCUGAAUUUCCUUGGUGGAAGUGAAUGCAUCGUCUAAAACACAAUCAAGCUUGCUGCAGAACCGACGAGGCUUGUGAAAAGCUAUUUAUGUGGCGAUCUGGAAGAAAAACGAAUGAAAACAACUUACAUCUAAUCGAGAUGAAAAAAAGAAGACGAGACCAGAGUAGCAGGUACAUUUCAACUGGGACAUAAUAAAGGUCCGGAUCACAUAUUUUUUCCCAGAAAGAAAUGUCAUUAAAAGCCUUGUAGUUAUGAAGCAAAUGGAGCAGUAUUGUGACAACUCGGAG